CCUACGGGGGGCAGCAGUGGGGAAUAUUGGACAAUGGGCGAAAGCCUGAUCCAGCCAUGCCGCGUGUGUGAAGAAGGCCUUCGGGUUGUAAAGCACUUUCAGUGGGGAAGAAAGCCUUGGGGCUAAUACCCUCGAGGAAGGACAUCACCCACAGAAGAAGCACCGGCUAACUCCGUGCCAGCAGCCGCGGUAAUACGGAGGGUGCGAGCGUUAAUCGGAAUUACUGGGCGUAAAGCGCGCGUAGGCGGUCUGAUAAGCCGGUUGUGAAAGCCCCGGGCUCAACCUGGGAACGGCAUCCGGAACUGUCAGGCUAGAGUGCAGGAGAGGAAGGUAGAAUUCCCGGUGUAGCGGUGAAGUGCGUAGAGAUCGGGAGGAAUACCAGUGGCGAAGGCGGCCUUCUGGACUGACACUGACGCUGAGGUGCGAAAGCGUGGGUAGCAAACAGGAUUAGAUACCCUUGUAGUC
rnacentral:rRNA from 1 species